rnacentral:sRNA from 1 species
UGACUAGAGGCUGGCGUCGCGUUGCGCAA